rnacentral:lncRNA from 1 species
UUUGAAACAACACCGCUCAUAAAUCUCAUUCUAACCCAAGUGGAUUUUUCUAUGGAAUCUGGGUUUAGGGAUAAACAGACACCUUGCUAUCCUUGAAAACUCUCUUAAGGAUUUUCUAAGAAUACCAAAAUGAGGUGAGCAACUGAUUCUCCUAGGAUGUCUUAGGGCUGGAUUGACAGAAAAAUCAGAUAUGGCCAACAACAACAUAGUGGUGGCAAGCAAAAAGGGGACAAAUGAUUAGAAGUUUUGGAAUCCCUAGUCGAUUAGGCUCAACAACAAGGAGUUCUUUGCUCUUGACGAAAACAGUAGCUUUACUGCUUUGAGCACUCUUUAAUCUCAAAACCUAAACCAAGAAUUCCCAAAUUUCGUCUCCUCACUAUUUGAUAAUUCAUGGACAGAAUUUCAAUCCUAGUGAGAAUAGACUUUGAAUCAUAAAACAACUCAGUAUACAUGACAUGUAUACUAUCAUUAGAAUCCUUGUCCUCAAAGGACUCAUCUAAUAUGAUUGGGGCUACAAAGGCCAAGGAAUCCUAAACAUCAUCCAAGGAUGGUUUAGACUCAUGAAAUAAGCUAUGAAAUUUUUGAGCUUUUUCAUAGGUCGUAGCCAAUGUGUCCCAACUGACUCUCGAAAGCUCUUUGUCAAAUAGAGCAGUGGGCAAGCUAUUAAAAGCUUUGAUGUUCAUCCUUCCAUAAUUAGUCCAAUCAAAAUAUGAAGGGACGUUAAUGGAAGUAUGGUCUCUAUCACGGUCCAUUCUCGGCUCACAGAGGAUCUCACUAACAAAAGCUAGUGGCCGCUCUGAUACCACUUAAAGGUCCUAGAGGGGGGUGAAUAGGCCCUUAACAACUUUUUUCGUAUAAAUUCGUUCUCAGGGAUAGCAAGGGUUAUAGCUAUCCUGAAGAACAAAUACACAAUGACAAUAAAUAAAAGUUGCAGUAAAAUAACAAUGAACACCAAGAUGUUUUUUACUCGCAGAAACCCUGAAACCAAGGAGAAAAACUGCGUGCCCCUAACUCUUGAGGGACAAACCUUUCCAUUAUGUAAAACUCACUUCUUACAAGAUUAUAGUCUAGGGAUACAUGAACCACUUGCUAUCCUGCCUAAAUUACCCACUAGUCUAGAUCUAUACUUUCUCUCUUGUUUCUGAGUACCUCACUCCUUACAAGAUUACAGUAUAGGAUACAACAAUGACUUGCUAUCCUACCUAGUCCCAAACUAGUCUAGAUCUACCUCUCUUGUCUCUAAGUGGCUACACAUGAAGGUAUAAGAAGUUUCAACUAAGAACUCAGCUAUCACUUAAUUGAUUCUUCUUGAAGACUUCUAAGAAGUUUCACUCUCAGAAACUCAGCUAUCUUAAACUGAUUCUUUCAUGAACCCAGCUACCUCAG